GGGAGGGUUGGGGCAAGAGGCCUUGUGGGUGGGCAAAGGCAGGAUGGCUAUGUAGGAAGUGUGAUAGACCCAGCUGGUUUCAGGCUUGCAGCCUGGGCACCUUCACUCAGAGUGUGUGGCUGAGUCGGCAAGCAGUGAUUGGGUUAAUGACAGUUCAGGGAUCUGCGUGAUGUUGACUUCUGGCAGGCUGAGAAUGAGGCCGCUGGGUAGUGUGUGAUCCUGAUACCACUAAGGAAUCUGGACCACUUGGGGAUCCAGGCUGUUGGUUGACUUCCAAUUCUGGGAAGCUCAGAUGUGGGUUGCAGGUUGUCCUGAGAUUCAGCCCUAGGCUGUGGCCUACAUCUUGGAGAUCUGGGGUCUAGGAGACAACACUGUGAUAUCUACUGAUCUUUGAUCCCAGUGGCCUGAAUGGCUGAGACAGGAGAGCAUUAGGGGCAGGGAAGCUGGGAGGAACAUCACCAGUUUUCCCUCCCUCUGGUUACUGUGCCAUUAAUGGCAUUAAUCCAGAGCUGCUCAGCUCCCCUUCUCCCCCCCAACCCCCCACCGCCCCAGACCUGGGGCUCACACAAGAAGGUUAAGGGUGGUCCCUGUUUCAAUGGGACCCUCCAGGCCAGGCAUAGCAGUGACUUAAAUGUCAGCGAGUUGACUGGCACCGUAGCCAUGCCCAGCAAGCUUGGGUAGUGCAUGGCUCGCACAUGUACUGGCAUCAGGCACUCAUCUUGCAUGUGCACCCAAAUGCUUCACAGGGGGGAGUUGCAUGUCCAUGCCACAUCUGGGCAUGCUGCAUUUGUUUCACGCGUGUCUAAGCCCUGUGUGUUAUACUGUAGUUUGCAUGUUUGCUCCAGUAGCAAAUCUCUAUGGGUCACCUCUGCUUGGUAAGAUGGGGUGGAGGGGUACUAGUCCCUGUCACUUCUCCUACUGUAACACGUCCAGGCGGAGUGCUGGCCUAGUACCGGCUGCAUUUGUCUUCCAUGCUCUUGUCACAUUCCAGGUCAGUAUAGGUCGCACUGUUUCUGUGCAUUCGAGCCGAGUCCCGGACAUGUUGAUCUAAAGCUGCCUUUCACAUGUGCCCCCUGAAUUCCGGAUCCAUGUGAGGACAUCUCAUUUUUGUGCACACAUUUGCAAAUGGCAACCCUUGGCAUGCUGAGGUGUCAGGUCCAUGUGAGCGGCAUGAGUGGAUCCAUGCAAGCUGUGUUGCUGCGGCACAUUCGUGCUUUGCAUGCCCAGGCGUCGGAUCUGUGCAAGGUGCACUGUUUUUUGCAAGCAUGCAGUUUGCAUGCUCCAAUGCCAGCCCUGUUCAAGUCUGCAUGGUCCUGCCAUGUGCCGUGACCCUCGCUUGGCUCAUCAAACCUGGACCAGGCUCCCUCACCCGCUCGGAUAACACCAGCCAUUGAUGUCUCUGCUGUGUGGCCCUCACCCCAUCCUGGGCAUCUGCGUGUGUCUUGAUCCCUUUGACAAUGCAAAGGGGCUUUCAGUCCCUGCAUCCCUUUCCCCUUUUUAUAUGCUCCAUGGGGAGGGCCGAUAGGGAUGUGUGAUUAUUUAUAGCAGAGUGGGUGGAGUGUUUUCUUUUUCCCCCCCAUCUCGUUUUUUCUAUGGCAUGAUCUUGUCAAAGCCCCUAGGAGGAGGAUCUGGUCACCUUAGAUUAGUAGCUCUCUCCCUUCCUCCUGCCGUUUUUAUAUGCAUAUGUUGUACUUUAGUCCUAAAGCUGUUGACUGUUUACAGUAAGCAGUGUGUUACCAAGCCUGGCUCCCUUACUGGAUUUGCAGUUGGGAUCCACUGCCCUGUGCCAGAUAAGUUCCCCUGCCUCCCUGUAUUUCCAAGUGAGCAAAUAGGGUUGGGUUUUUUUCUUCUCCAAAAAAGGAUCUGUUACUACUUGCCAAUCACUGACUCCAGAAUACAGCCGCCUUAACACGUCUCAGGAUCUAACUAGGAUCCACUGUAGAUUGCCAGUGGCCAUGGGAAGGUGAUCCCUUGGUGUGCUGUGGUUGUCACUGGUUCUAAAAAGAAUCCAUUUGCAGAUCACUAAUAGCUGAUGCUGAAUAAAGUCUGGUGGAUCUGAAAGGCAUUCGCUGAUCACUGACACAAGAAUGGGGUUUGCUUGCUGUUUUUCUCAGCAGGUGAAUCUAAAAGAUUGCCAAAGGCCAACCUAAUAAUUCAGUGUAAUUCCCCCUAUCUGUCAUAGUUGGUGGAUCUAAAUGAGAUCCAUUUUUUUUAUCAACUCCAGAACAAGGUUUCACUUUUGUUUACAUGCUUGCUGGAUCUAACAGGGACUUGCAGCAGAUCAGCAUAUACUGCGUACAGAACCUGCUCCCCUUUAGUUCUUAGUUGGUGGAUUUGAAAAAGGACUGUUAGGACACUGGUUCCUGUAAUAGUAAUACAGCACCAUGUGACUUGCACUUGGUGGAUUUUUGAAGGAUCCACUGUUGAUUCUCAACAGAAGACCCCAAAAUAGUGUUGGAUUUAAGAGGAAUCUCUUGGCAAUUGCUGACUAGGAUUCUCUGGGAUUUCCAAGUGAGCAGAUCUAAAAAAAGAUCCAAUAUAGAGUCCUAGCAUCUAACACAAGCACAAGAGCCACUUGCAUGUUCUGUUUGCUGGAUCAAAAUGGGACCUAUUUCAAGCUGCCAACAACUGAAACAAAAACCAUAUUGCACCUUCCCAGUGGGUCCACUGCUGACUUAAUGCCACUGUGAUGAACCUGAGCAAUGUCUGAGACAAAGAACCUCGCCAAAAGCUGAGGGGAUCCAUUAAAAGUUGCCUGAAGAGCUUUCCCCAGAGGGGGAUCUGUUACCUGUUGCCAAUGGCUAAAUCUCAAACAGCCCAUCUUGAACUUCUUGAUUUGCUGGAUUCCCACAUAGAUCUGUUGUAGAUUCCACUGCUAAAGAUGCUGUCUCUGACUUGCCAAUGGCUCUGUCCCUAAGAGAGGUCUUUCAUAAGAUGAUGGAUGGCCGGAUGCCCUGAGAAGGGAUCUGCUGUGGAAAUGAUGGAUCAAUGACAAAGGAUCGACUGAAAUCCAGCUAGUAGCCAGCUGCAUCAGAGGGCAUCCACUGCCCACAACUUCCCAAUCAGUGUUGUUCCAGUUUCUCUGGGAAGAUUGCAGCUGACCAUGGGUGCAUGGUGACAAGGAGCUUAUCAGGGAACAGUCCAGGCCUGGUCAUCUUGGAGGCAGCACUCCUAGUUCCUGUUUGUAGCUCUUGGAGGCAAAUGGGGUCUGAACAGGGGUUAAAACAUGGUUAGAAGAGGGGGCUCGAUGGCAAGACACCUGGGUUGUCCCCAGCUCUGGAUUACAAAUGUGGUCUAUGGGUUAGUAUGGGAGGUCCCUGGCUGUCUUCCCUGAACCAUGUUAGAAACUUGGGCAAGUCUCUUUCUCAUCUGGAAAUAAGGAUAAAAUACUUCCCACAACCCAGGGCAGAGGACAUUGGGCUUACCAGAAGCACCAGAGAAGCAGAGGAAGGCUAAGUAUCAAUACUGAAAACCUUUAUUCUAAGUCCGUCCUGGCCUGAAUCUCUUGCAUUCAUUUAUGUGGUAGUAGGGUCUACAGGUCACAAGAUCAGUACCCAUACUGCCACUGCAUGGUGCUGCAUUGACAUUGUGGGAGAGAUGGUCCCUACCCCCAGAAACCUUGCAGUCAAGUAUAGACAAGAAAGGCCUGUCGCUCCCAUUUUGCAGAUGGACAAAUGAGGUAUGGACAAACAGUGAUUUGCCCAGGGUUCCCCAGAAAGAGGUUUUUUCAGAGCUGGGAGCUGACCACAAAUUUCCUGCCCCUAAACCUCAUGGCUUAACCCAAGGCCUGUUCUUCCAACCUGUGCAAUGUCUGUUGGAUUGCUAGUUCCUGCCUUGGUUGAUUCCUAGCCUCUCCACCCCUCUCCCAACCAAAGCCAUCCAGGGCUCUGAGCUGCCUUUGGUCCUUAGCAUUUGAUGCAGAAACACAAGUUUUUGUUUACAUUUCAAUAAAGUUUGGAUUUUUUUUAAAUUCAAAACCUUCAA